rnacentral:rRNA from 1 species
AGAGUUUGAUCAUGGCUCAGGACGAACGCUGACGGUGUGCUUUAGGCAUGCAAGUCGAACGAGAAAGCCCUUCGGGGUGAGUAAAGUGGCGAACGGGUGAGUAACACGUGGGCAACCUGCCCCUCGCAGGGGGACAACCGGAGGAAACUCCGGCUAAUACCCCGUACGCUUGUUGGAUCGCAUGGUCCGGCAAGGAAAGGUAGCUUCGGCCAUCCGGCGAGGGAUGGGCCCGCGUUGCAUUAGCUAGUUGGUGGGGUAACGGCCUACCAAGGCGACGAUGCGUAGCUGGUCUGAGAGGAUGAUCAGCCACACUGGGACUGAGACACGGCCCAGACUCCUACGGGAGGCAGCAGCCAGGAAUCUUGGGCAAUGGGCGAAAGCCUGACCCAGCAACACCGUGUGGGUGACGAAGGCCUUAGGGUCGUAAAGCCCUGUUGAUAGGGACGAAGGGCGAAGGGUUAAUAGCCCCUAGCUUGACGGUACCUUUCGAGGAAGCCCCGGCUAACUACGUGCCAGCAGCCGCGGUAAUACGUAGGGGGCGAGCGUUGUCCGGAAUUAUUGGGCGUAAAGAGCGUGUAGGCGGUUCGGUAAGUCUGCUGUGAAAUCCUGGGGCUCAACCCUGGGCGUGCAGCGGAUACUGCCGGGCUAGAGGGUGGUAGAGGCGAGUGGAAUUCCGAGUGUAGCGGUGAAAUGCGCAGAUAUUCGGAGGAACACCAGUAGCGAAGGCGGCUCGCUGGGCCACACCUGACGCUGAGACGCGAAAGCGUGGGGAGCGAACAGGAUUAGAUACCCUAGUAGUCC